CUGCUACCUUAAAAAGGAUUUCAGACACGAUAAGGAGCUAAAAUUUCCUAAUUGCUUCCCAUAUUACUCGUAGGAAGGCUUUAGGCUGUCAAGAAUCAGGAGUUACUGGAUUGGAGCUUCUGCAACAGUUCCCAGGUUUAACUUUGCAGCAACAAGGGAAGGUAGCUGAAUAGAGGACAUGGUCAAAAGAAACCUACUCAAGUGCAUUGGUAGGAAUAAUGUAAG